CGGAGGGGAUGACCCGUGGGUAGGGGUGAAAGGCCAAUCAAACCCGGAGAUAUCUCGUUCUCCCCGAAAUAGCUUUAGGGCUAGCCCCGGCCGUUUUCCCGCGGCGGUAGAGCACUGGACGGAGGAGGGGGCCUCACCGCCUACCGAUGCCGACCAAACUCCGAAUGCCGACGGGACCUGAAGGCCGGGAGUCAGAGCAUGUGGGCUAAGCUGUGUGCUCGAGAGGGAAACAGCCCAGACCGCCCGCUAAGGCCCCCAAGUCGUCGCUGAGUGGCAAAGGAUGUGCCCCUGCCCAGACAACCAGGAUGUUGGCUUAGAAGCAGCCAUGCAUUCAAAGAGUGCGUAACAGCUCACUGGUCGAGUGGGGGCGCGCCGACAAUGCGCGGGGCUCAAGCACGGCGCCGAAGCGGCGGAAUCAAGCAAUUGAUUGGUAGGGGAGCUUUCCAUGCCGGGCGAAGCCGGAGGCGCGAGCCCCGGUGGACGGCAUGGAAGUGAGGAUGCAGGCAUGAGUAGCGAGAGAAUGGCGAGAAACCAUUCCGCCGAAAACCCAAGGUUUCCUGGGCGAGGCUAAUCCCCCCAGGGUCAGCCGGGAGCUAAGGCGAGGCCGCAAGGCGCAGCCGAUGCACGACGGGCAGACAUUCCCGUGCCGGCGCGGGCGCGCUACGACCGAUGGGACGACGGGGAAGGAUACGCGAGCGGGGUUCUGGACGUCCCCGUGAAAGCGCGUAGGGAGGGGCCCAGGGAAAUCCGGUCCCCACACAUCCCGAGACGCGAGACGAGCCGCACGGCGAAGUCGCGGAUUCCAUGCCUCCUAGAAAAAUCCCUAGGCAGCGCCCACGCCGCCCGUACCAAAACCGACACAGGUGGGUAGGAAGAGCAUUCCGAGGCGAUCGGGGCAACCAUGGUCAAGGAACUCGGCAUAAUCGUCCCGUAACUUAGGGAGAAGGGACGCCCCCCAGCGUGAACCGGCUCGCCCGGGAAGCGCCGGGGGGCCGCAGCGAAAGGGCCCAAGCGACUGUUUACCAAAAACACAGGACUCUGCCAAGCCGCGAGGCGAAGUAUAGGGUCUGACGCCUGCCCGGUGCCGGAAGGUCACGGGGAUCCGUUAGCCUUUGGCGAAGCGGUGAACCCAAGCCCCGGUAAACGGCGGCCGUAACUAUAACGGUCCUAAGGUAGCGAAAUUCCUUGUCGGGUAAGUUCCGACCUGCACGAACGGCGCAACGACUUGGGCGCUGUCUCGACCAUGGGCCCGGCGAAAUUGCAUUAUCCGUGAAGAUGCGGAUUCCCCGCGGAAGGACGGAAAGACCCCGUGAACCUUUACUGCAGCUUGGCAUUGGCCGCAGGCGCGGCGCGUAGAGGAUAGGCAGGAGGCUGCGAAGCCCGGGCGCCAGCCCUGGCGGAGCCGACCUUGGAAUACUGCCCCCGUCGCGUCGGCGGCCUAACCCGGGGACGGCCCGGGGACCGUGCCAGGCGGGCAGUUUGACUGGGGCGGUCGCCUCCCAAAGAGUAACGGAGGCGCGCGCAAGGUCCGCUCAGGACGGUCGGCAACCGUCCGCGGAGCGCAAGAGCACAAGCGGGCCUGACUGCGAGGCAGACAAGCCGAGCAGGGACGAAAGUCGGCUCUAGUGAUCCGGCGGCCCCGAGUGGAAGGGCCGUCGCUCAACGGAUAAAAGGUACUCCGGGGAUAACAGGCUGAUCUUGCCCAAGAGUCCACAUCGACGGCAAGGUUUGGCACCUCGAUGUCGGCUCAUCGCAUCCUGGGGCUGGAGUCGGUCCCAAGGGUACGGCUGUUCGCCGUUUAAAGCGGUACGCGAGCUGGGUUCAGAACGUCGUGAGACAGUUCGGUCCCUAUCCUCCGCGGGCGCAGGAGAAUUGAGGAGGGCUGCCCCUAGUACGAGAGGACCGGGGCGGACGGGCCUCUGGUGUCCCGGUUGUCGACCAACGGCACGGCCGGCUAGCCACGCCCGGAACGGAUAACCGCUGAAGGCAUCUAAGCGGGAAGCCGUCUCCGAGAUGAGUUCU
rnacentral:rRNA from 1 species